ensembl:lncRNA
CAUCAUUUACAGUCAGUUUACAGUCCCUCUUCAGCACUGGGUAUGUACUUCAGUAAAUUAUUCCACAUCACUGAUUUAUAAACGGCUGCUGAGGUAGUAUUCUCAAGUGAAGCGAGUUGAACACUUAACAACAGAAUAAGACCAGUGCAUUAGUUUGUAACUCACUUUAUUUUAUAUAGUGUUUUUGUUGCUGUUGCUGCUAACUCAACAUAUUUCUUCAUCUCAUUAACAUCAUCAUCUCCAGGUCACACUGAACAGCAGAUUGUUGUCUCAAGCCAGUGCUGAUCAAUAACAGUUUAGCUGCAGUAUGUCAGAGAAGAGAGGAAAGAUGAGUCUCUCACAGAAACAGAGGUAAGACUGAGUCUGUUCUCGGAGAAUCAUUUAAACACUUUCUGUGAAGAUUAAAACCCCAUCAAUUAUUACGUCUUUUUCUUGCUUUUGCCAUGAAUGAAAUGUAGUUUCUCCAAGAUACUCUCUUUAAACAACCACAUCUGUGUAAAGAAAAGAGCACCAUGUUUGUAUGUUUCUGAAUUAUCUGUACUGUUAACCUCUCAGAAACUGUAGAAAUCAACAAAUCAUCCAUAAUUUAUCAUAUAAAGUUGAUUGCAUUACACGUUUGGUGUUUCAUAUUAAGUAGGUAAUAAAUGUAAAUAAUGGGCAAACUAGAUAUCAUUUAGAAUUAAUACAAAUAUACAUCAAACUCCUACAGUGUAAAUUAGUGGAUAUUUUUAAAGGGAAAUGUAAAAGAUUUUUGUCUCUUUCUCAGACUCGUUCACUGCACACAGGUCAUUGUUCAUUAUAUUCAUUGCUAUAGAUACAAGAUAUUGUAUGAGCCAGCUGUGUUUUUUAGUGAAGUAGAAAUUGUGCAAGAUGAGAAAGCAGCGCUUCACUUGACUGUUAGAUGAUUCCUUUAUAACAGACCUGAUGAGUUAGUGAACUAGUUUGUGUUCAACUAAACAAACUCCAAUUUGGCACACAAAAUCUCUUCAAAUGAGACUGAAGUAUCUGUUAUAGUUCUCUCUGUUCUUUGUGUCAUUAGUGUAAGAUCAGGCUCACAUGUGUCCAGCUCUGUGUCUGUGAAGAGUGACCGGUCAAAAGAUAAUCCACCGGACUUCAGUGAGAAAAAAACAUCAUCUACCAAAAGAGUUCAAUAUGAGACAUUAGAUUCAGACGUCCAGACUCACAGGAACUACAAGAAUUUCAAAAACAAUCUCCUGCAGACCUUCCAGGUAGAAAAACACAUUUUCAAAAAUAUUAAUCUUUUAUAACAAAUAAAUAGUUCACUGAACAAAGCUUGUAAGAAUAU